AAUUAUCGAUGUAUCAGAUGAAUGGGAAAAUUUCAUGUAACGCAUAAAUUGCAAAGAAAAUUCAGAUAUAUAUGAAAAUGAGGAAAACAUACUACAGCUCCGUCAUUGGGUCUCCUUAAGAGGACAGACACUCUGUAGAACAGCUAGAGGGAUGAUGUACUAUAGAAGGGCAUUGAAGCUUCAGGCAUUUCUUGAUAUGGCUAAUGAAAGACGGCCAAGUACAGAGCUACAGGGCAUGGUUUGUUGUGAGACAUGAGAAGUUUGCCGAGAAUUACAGAAUGUACUCUUUACCUGAAUAGAGUGUCUAGAUUUACUUCUUGUUUAUUCAUCGGUUGAUGCUAUUAGUUGUAACUCUUUACCUGAAUUUUUUGUCAAAAAAUGUAGAGGUUAUAACUACUUAAGUUAGUCAUGAGUAUUCCCUUGUAAAUUCAACAUACUAGUUUCCUUUUGUGGAAUCAAUUAGUAGGGAUUCAUAUUCUUUAA